rnacentral:tRNA from 1 species
UCCCUGGUAGCUCAGUCCGUAAAGAAUCUGCCUGCAGUGCAGAAGACCCAGGUUUGAUCCCUGGGUUGGGAA